rnacentral:rRNA from 1 species
GACGAACGCUGGCGGCGUGCCUAAUACAUGCAAGUCGAGCGCAGGAAACUGACGGAACUCUUCGGAGGGAAGACAGUGGAAUGAGCGGCGGACGGGUGAGUAACACGUAAGGAACCUGCCUCAAGGAUUGGGAUAACUCCGAGAAAUCGGAGCUAAUACCGGAUAGUUCAACGGACCGCAUGGUCCGCUGAUGAAAGGCGCUCCGGCGUCACCUUGAGAUGGCCUUGCGGUGCAUUAGCUAGUUGGUGGGGUAAUGGCCCACCAAGGCGACGAUGAAGAGCCGACCUGGGAGGGUGAUCGGCCACACUGGGACUGAGACACGGCACAGACUCCUACGGGAGGCAGCAGUAGGGAAUCUUCCACAAUGGACGAAAGUCUGAUGGAGCAACGCCGCGUGAGUGAUGAAGGUUGUCGGAUCGUAAAACUCUGUUGUAAGGGAAGAACACGUACGAGAGGGAAUGCUCGUACCUUGACGGUACCUUACGAGAAAGCCACGGCUAACUACGUGCCAGCCGCCGCGGUAACAC